AUUGAGGAUAAACCCGGAUAGGAAAAAACUACUGGAAUGUGUUUUUCUUAAAAGCAAUGCCAUAAGAUGAGUCGGCGGCUGAUUAGGUAGUUGGUGAGGUAAAGGCUCACCAAGCCUGUGAUCAGUAAGGGGAAUGAAAGUUCUGGCCUUGAGAAGGACACUGAGACAAGGGUCCUAGCCCUAAGGGGUGCAGCAGUCGCGAAACCUUUACAAUGCGCGCAAGCGUGAUAGGGGUAUCCCAAGUGCCUACCUUCUGGGUAGGCUUUUGCUGAGUGUAAAUAGCUCGGAGAAUAAGUGGUGGGUAAGACUGGUGCCAGCAGCCGCGGUAACCCCAGCGCCACGAGUGGUGACCACAAUUAUUGGGCCUAAAGCGUCCGUAGCUGGCUCAAAAAAUCCUUUGUGAAAUUGUUGGACUCAAUCUAACAACGUGCAGAGGAGACUUUUGGGCUUGAGACCGGGAAGAGAUAGAAGUAUUCCUUGGGGAGCGGUAAAAUGUUAUAAUCCUUGGAGGACUACCAAUAGCGGAGGCAUCUAUAUAGAACGGGUCUGACAGUGAGGGACGAAAGCUAGGGGAGCAACACGGAUUAGAUAUGAACGAGAAGCUGAAAAAAAUUAAAAUAAUG
rnacentral:rRNA from 1 species